UACGGAAGGCAGCAGUGGGGAAUAUUGCACAAUGGGCGAAAGCCUGAUGCAGCUAUGCCGCGUGCAUGAAGAAAGGCCUUAGGGUUGUAAAGUACUUUCAUCGGGGAGGAAAAACAAAACUAAUAAUUUUAUUUCUUGACGUUACCCGAAAAAGAAGCACCGGCUAACUCCGUGCCAGCAGCCGCGGUAAUACGGAGGGUGCUAGCGUUAAUCAGAAUUACUGGGCGUAAAGAGCACGUAGGUGGUUUUUUUAAGUUCAGAUGUGAAAUCCCUGGGCUUAACCUAGGAACUGCAUUUUGAAACUGAAAUACUAGAGUAUCGUAGAGGGAGGUAGAAUUCUAGGUGUAGCGGUGAAAUGCGUAGAUAUCUGGAGGAAUACCUGUGGCGAAAGCGGCCUCCUAAACGAAUACUGACACUGAGGUGCGAAAGCGUGGGGAGCAAACAGGGAUUAGAUACC
rnacentral:rRNA from 1 species